rnacentral:rRNA from 1 species
UACGUAGGGCGCAAGCGUUAUCCGGAAUUAUUGGGCGUAAAGAGCUCGUAGGCGGUUUGUCGCGUCUGCCGUGAAAGUCCGGGGCUCAACUCCGGAUCUGCGGUGGGUACGGGCAGACUAGAGUGAUGUAGGGGAGACUGGAAUUCUUGGUGUAGCAGUGAAAUGCGUAGAUAUCAAGAGGAACACCGGUGGCGAAGGCGGGUCUCUGGGCCGAUACUGACGCUGAGGAGCGAAAGCAUGGGUAGCGAACAGG